rnacentral:misc_RNA from 1 species
UAAGGGACCAAGAAAAUAGUCUCUCAACAGAGAAAUCAAUCCGUCUUUCUGUCUUAUUUAAUACGGAUCGUGAGAAGAUCAAUUGCGUGCUGUGUUUGGUUUCUUAUAGAGACUCGAAUUGAGCUGGAGAAAGAAAAAAAAUGGUUUCAGCGAACAGGGAGAUGGCGGUUUAUUGUUUUGACACUCUCGUCGCUCACUACAACAGUGAGGAAGCUCCCCCUCCUGCCUUUGAUGAGGGCCAGCACCCACUAUUUGUCACGUGGAAGAAAAUGGUCAAUGGUGGUGAGCCUUGUUUACGUGGAUGCAUUGGAAC